rnacentral:rRNA from 1 species
AUUUGGAGAGGAUGCUUCUGGCGCGGCGCCGUCCGAGUUCCUUGGAACAGGACGCCACAGAGGGUGAGAGCCCCGUACGGACGGACGCCUAGCCUCUACGAAGCUCCUUCGACGAGUCGAGUAGUUUGGGAAUGCUGCUCAAAAUGGGAGGUAAAUUUCUUCUAAAGCUAAAUACCGGCCAGAGACCGAUAGCGCACAAGUAGAGUGAUCGAAAGAUGAAAAGCACUUUGAAAAGAGGGUUAAAAAGUACGUGAAAUUGUUGAAAGGGAAGCGCCUGUGACCAGACUUGCGCCCCGCGGACCACCCGGCGUUCUCGCCGGUGCACUCUGCGGUGCGCAGGCCAGCAUCGGUUCUCCCAGGGGGACAAAGGCCGCGGGAACGUAGCUCCUUCGGGAGUGUUAUAGCCCGCGGCGGCAUGCCCCUGGGGGGACCGAGGACCGCGCUUCGGCAAGGAUGCUGGCGUAAUGGUCACCAGCGACCCGUCUUGAAACACGGACCAAGGAGUCAAGCAUUGGGGCGAGUGUAUGGGUGCCAAACCCGCACGCGAAAUGAAAGUAAACGCAGGUGAGAGCUUCGGCGCAUCAUCGACCGAUCCUGAUGUCUUCGGAUGGAUUUGAGUAAGAGCCUUACCGCUUGGACCCGAAAGAUGGUGAACUAUGCCUGAAUAGGGUGAAGCCAGAGNAAACUCUGGUGGAGG